rnacentral:rRNA from 1 species
AUACGGAGGGUGCAAGCGUUAUCCGGAUUUAUUGGGUUUAAAGGGUCGUAGGCGGAUCUGUAAGUCAGUGGUGAAAUCUCACAGCUUAACUGUGAAACUGCCAUUGAUACUGCAGGUCUUGAGUGUUGUUGAAGUAGCUGGAAUAAGUAGUGUAGCGGUGAAAUGCAUAGAUAUUACUUAGAACACCAAUUGCGAAGGCAGGUUACUAAGCAACAACUGACGCUGAUGGACGAAAGCGUGGGGAGCGAACAGGAUUAGAUACCCUGGUAGUCCACGCCGUAAACGAUGAUAACUCGUUUUUGGGAUGCUAGUGUCAGAGACUAAGCGAAAGCGUUAAGUGAUCC